rnacentral:rRNA from 1 species
UACGGAGGAUCCAAGCGUUAUCCGGAAUCAUUGGGUUUAAAGGGUCCGUAGGCGGUUUAAUAAGUCAGUGGUGAAAGCCCAUCGCUCAACGGUGGAACGGCCAUUGAUACUGCUGGACUUGAAUUAUUGGGAAGCAACUAGAAUAUGUAGUGUAGCGGUGAAAUGCUUAGAGAUUACAUGGAAUACCAAUUGCGAAGGCAGGUUGCUACCAAUUGAUUGACGCUGAUGGACGAAAGCGUGGGUAGCGAACAGG